UACGGAGGGGGGCUAGCGUUGUUCGGAAUUACUGGGCGUAAAGCGCACGUAGGCGGCUUUGUAAGUUAGAGGUGAAAGCCCAGGGCUUAACCCUGGAAUUGCCUUUAAGACUGCAUCGCUAGAAUUGUGGAGAGGUAAGUGGAAUUCCGAGUGUAGAGGGUGAAAUUCGUAGAUAUUCGGAAGAACACCAGUGGCGAAGGCGACUUACUGGACACAUAUUGACGCUGAGGUGCGAAAGCGUGGGGAGCAAACAGG
rnacentral:rRNA from 1 species